rnacentral:lncRNA from 1 species
GGAUACAUCAGCACCUCUAUGUAGUUCUCAUGGCAAACUUACAGCAGUGGUUUCCCACCGCCUACUGGAAAUCAAGGGAGUGGCUGUGGCUCACUGGUAGAACAAAGUGCCUGGAAAGCUGAGUGUUGCUGGUUCAAUCCCCAGCCUCUCCCCACUCAGAAAUAGGCAACAGCAAACCACUUCCAUAGCUCUGCCAAGAAAACUGCAUAGUGGUGCCCAGCAACUACUGAAAAUCGAACCUGUAACUCUCUGCUUUCCAGGCAGUUUUAUCUUUUAGCUCGCGUGUCAAUUCUGCUGUGAAAUAUGGAAAGUGGAACUUUCCUGGCAGGGAGGGCUGAAUUUAAAUAUGUUUGAGUACUUUCUAUAGUUUAUCUUUUUAUUAUUGUGACCUAUCCUGAGACCGUUUGGUAAUACAGAUUCUUAAAAUAAAAUAAUAAUAAUAGUAGCAGCAGGAGUAAAAGGCUUCAGAGAAGCGAUGUUCAUGAAUGUAAAAUUGCCAGUUUGGAUCUUAACAAACCUGAACCAGCAAUCGGUUGGACUGUUCGACCAUUAAAAGUUUUUUGGCUCCUCCUUGCGCAUGCCGCCUCCCCCACAUCUGGGUCGGUCUCUUCCUUUUUUCCCACUGUACGCGCAACGUCCCUGUCGUGUCCCGCAAUUCAACUCGGUUUAGUACCGGACNGAACCCCCCCGCCAUUCAUUCCACAGAAAGCAGGGCGUAUCUCCUUACCCUCCCCGUUCCUCCCCAUCUCCAAAAAUGAUCAAUUUCUAGAUACGCUUAAAUCAUCCAGGAGAGUUGGAAACCCAAGUCCUGCUGCAACAGACUUGCUGACUGGUGGGGGAAUAUUCCUUAAUCCUUUUCGCAUUCCUUUUUAACUCUCUGGCUGCCCCCACCCAUUAAAGGAGGCGAGGUGAGACUCCUAGAGAGGCAGGAAGCUGCUCAGAAUGGGUCUCUGCCUGGAGAGAUGGCUCCAUCUCCUGGGGAGGGAAAAAAGCCAGCCGACUCCGAGGCGUGAGUUUGGCUGCUGGGAUGGAAGGCGGGGGGAAAGAGGUAAACACGUUGAGGCAAGGGGCUCGCCUCGUUUUGGACUUGUGGAGGAAGGAGAGAGAGACCCUUUUGCCUCCUCCUUACAUUCAUUAGAGCUACUGAUGCUGCAGUUCAGCAGCCAAAGGGGGACCCACCCAGAACAUCGCAGGAUCUUCUUCAAAGAUCCUUCUCGGAUCCAUCUGUUCUUUAAGGGCCACAGGGAGGAGGAGGAGGGCGAAGCAUUUGCCAAGAGCUGCCACUGGAAACCGUAGGAUAUUCCAGCUACUGCUUCCUACUUUGCCCUCCUCAAAAGCAGGGCCAUGGCUGCUGAGGUGCCAUGUGGAUUAUCUUCCUGUUGGAUUGGAGUAUCCUCCUGUUGGACUCUGCAGCCAUCACAGGUAAGUGCAGAUCACGACAGCCGAAAGCAUGGGGACACAACAGGUUGA